UAACGAAUAUUCCGCAAUGGGCGCAAGCCUGACGGAGCGAUGCCGCGUGCAGGACGAAGCCCCUCGGGGUGUAAACUGCUGUCAGGGUUUAGGAACACAAUGACCAAACCCAAAGGAAGAGGCGACUAACUCUGUGCCAGCAGUCGCGGUAAUACAGAGGCCUCAAGCGUUAAUCGGAAUCACUGGGCUUAAAGGGUGCGUAGGCGGAGCCGCAAGUGCCUUGUGAAAUCCCACCGCUUAACGGUGGAACUGCUCGGUAGACUGCGGUUCUUGAGGUCGGUAGGGGCCGCUGGAACUCUAGGUGGAGCGGUGAAAUGCGUAGAUAUCUAGAGGAACGCCAAAGGUGAAGACAGGCAACUGGGCCGAAACUGACGCUGAGGCACGAAAGCGUGGGUAGCGAACGGGAUUAGAUACCCCCGUAGUCC
rnacentral:rRNA from 1 species